CUGCUCACUUCAGUAGCACAUAUAAAAUUGGAACAAUACAGAGAAGAUUAGCAAGGUCUCUGUGCAAGGUUGACACGCAAAUUCGAGAAUUGUUCCAAAUUAAA